rnacentral:rRNA from 1 species
UACGUAGGUGACUAGCGUUGUUCGGAAUUACUGGGCGUAAAGCGCGUGUAGGCGGUUGUUCAAGUCAGGUGUGAAAGCCUUGAGCUCAACUCAAGAAAUGCACUUGAUACUGGAUGACUAGAGGACCGGAGAGGAUAGUGGAAUUCCCAGUGUAGUGGUGAAAUACGUAGAGAUUGGGAAGAACACCAGUGGCGAAGGCGGCUAUCUGGACGGUUUCUGACGCUAAGACGCGAAAGCGUGGGGAGCAAACAGG